rnacentral:tRNA from 1 species
UUAGCUUAGUUGGUAGUGCGUCUGCCUUGUAAGCGCUAGGCCGCGGGUUCGAUUCCCGUCCGGGGCG